rnacentral:lncRNA from 1 species
GCCGAGCCCACAGAGCUCAGGUUCCAUCCCCAGCCACCCUUACCUUUUCAAAUUUUGAGACAAGUUCUCGCUAAGUUGCCCAGGUUGGCCUCCAACUCGUGAUCCUCCUGCCUCUGCCUCCUGAUUAGCUGGGACAACAGGCGUGCACCACCGCACCUGCCAACAAUUUCUAAGCAGAGCGUGUUGUCAUCCUGGUUGUGUGUCAAUGGAUUUCACACCCGAGUGCUUGCUAAGUGUGCUGCACCUCCACCCCGGGUCAGGGGACGUCUUGCUUCUGUAGGGACGAUGUGGC